rnacentral:misc_RNA from 1 species
UGCAGCAGCGCGCAGAUGUG